rnacentral:lncRNA from 1 species
AGUGAAUAAAAACACCAUGGAAAAAUUAAUUUGGUAAUACGAAGCAUGGGCUACAUUUCCUGAUUUCAUUUUGUGAUUUGAUGUUAGUCAGUAAACCUGUGAUUAUAUGCUACCCACAGUGAAGGUGAAUUCCAUAUAUCCAAUGAAGUUUUUCAGAAAACAUCUUAGCUUCUUACAGAAGAAGAAGCAUGAAAUGGCUUUUCACCUCCACCUGUAUGCUGUUUCUAAGCUCAUGAAGCUAGGAUUUGCCAUGGGGAACCUAGAGAGCAAGAGGAUUGCUCACUUAAGGGGAAACUAACUACCACGUUAUGCAGCUCUACUGUAAAAAUGCACAGGGUGAGAAACCAAGGCCUCCUUCUGACAGGAGCCACUUGCCGGUCAUGCUCUUCGAAAGACUGAAAAAAUUGACAGGACCAGAGAGAGUCCAUCUAGAAGAAUGUCAAACAAACCACUGAAGUAACGUGUUGACAAAAUAACAGCUCUAAUAAAUUGCAAUUUGACUAUAA